rfam:Salmo salar isolate Sally breed double haploid chromosome ssa10, whole genome shotgun sequence.
UCCCAUGUGGCUCAGUUGGUAGAGCAUGGUGUUUGCAACGCCAGGGUUGUGGGUUCGCUUCCCACGGGGGAC